ensembl:miRNA
UGUGGCAGCCCUGAGAGCCAGGUGGAGUUGUCCUUUCAUCUGUCCCUCUUGGCUGCCAGC